UCUUCAGUGAUCAUUCAAAUCCAUCUUCAAAUAGUGGUUUUGUAUGACCUCACUGUCGAUA
rnacentral:pre_miRNA from 1 species